AUUGAACGCUGGCGGCAGGCCUAACACAUGCGAGUCGAACGGUAACAGGAAGAAUCUUGCUUCUUUGCUGACGAGUGGCGGACGGGUGAGUAAUGUCUGGGAAACUGCCUGAUGGAGGGGGAUAACUACUGGAAACGGUAGCUAAUACCGCAUAACGUCGCAAGACCAAAGAGGGGGACCUUCGGGCCUCUUGCCAUCGGAUGUGCCCAGAUGGGAUUAGCUAGUUGGUGGGGUAACGGCUCACCUAGGCGACGAUCCCUAGCUGGUCUGAGAGGAUGACCAGCCACACUGGAACUGAGACACGGUCCAGACUCCUACGGGAGGCAGCAGUGGGGAAUAUUGCACAAUGGGCGCAAGCCUGAUGCAGCCAUGCCGCGUGUAUGAAGAAGGCCUUCGGGUUGUAAAGUACUUUCAGCGGGGAGGAAGGGAGUAAAGUUAAUACCUUUGCUCAUUGACGUUACCCGCAGAAGAAGCACCGGCUAACUCCGUG
rnacentral:rRNA from 1 species